rnacentral:miRNA from 1 species
GUGGUCUCUGGGAGUGGGAGAUG